rnacentral:rRNA from 1 species
CAGGUUGACCUCGAAUCAGGUUCAUGGUCAUUUAGAGGAAGUAAAAGUCGUAACAAGGUUUCCGUUGGUGAACCAGCGGAGGGAUCAUUAUCGAGCUAUUCAACUCCCAAACCCUAUGUGAACUUACCACUUGUUGCUUCGGCGCGCGCUUCGGCGCCGCCGAGGACACUUAAACUCUUUGUUUUUAUAAGCAUUUCUGAGUGGCCGAAAGGCAAAAAUACAAAUGAAUCAAAACUUUCAACAACGGAUCUCUUGGUUCUGGCAUCGAUGAAGAACGCAGCGAAAUGCGAUAAGUAAUGUGAAUUGCAGAAUUCAGUGAAUCAUCGAAUCUUUGAACGCACAUUGCGCCCGCCAGCAUUCUGGCGGGCAUGCCUGUUCGAGCGUCAUUUCAACCCUCGAGCCCGACUCUUUUAAGGACGGCUCGGCGUUGGGGGACGGCAGACUCCCCCCGGCAUCUCGCCGGGGACGCCGCCCCCGAAAUCUAGUGGCGGCCCUCCGAGGCGACCUCUGCGUAGUAACUUGUUCUCGCACCGGAAAGCUCAGAGCGGCCACGCCGUAAAACCCCAACUUUUUUCAGGUUGACCUCGAAUCAGGU